GAUGAACGCUGGCGGCGUGCCUAAUACAUGCAAGUCGAGCGAACAGACGAGGAGCUUGCUCCUCUGACGUUAGCGGCGGACGGGUGAGUAACACGUGGAUAACCUACCUAUAAGACUGGGAUCUCUUCGGGAAACCGGAGCUAAUACCGGAUAAUAUAUUGAACCGCAUGGUUCAAUAGUGAAAGACGGCUUUGCUGUCACUAAUAGAUGGAUCCGCGCCGCAUUAGCUAGUUGGUAAGGUAACGGCUUACCAAGGCAACGAUGCGUAGCCGACCUGAGAGGGUGAUCGGCCACACUGGAACUGAGACACGGCCCAGACUCCUACGGGAGGCAGCAGUAGGGAAUCUUCCGCAAUGGGCGAAAGCUUGACGGAGCAACGCCGCGUGAGUGAUGAAGGUCUUCGGAUCGUAAAACUCUGUUAUUAGGGAAGAACAAAUGUGUAAGUAACUAUGCACGUCUUGACGGUACCUGAUCAGAAAGCCACGGCUAACUACGUG
rnacentral:rRNA from 1 species